UACUUAAUCACUUAAAUAAUAGUAUACCAAUCAGACAUGUUAAAAUUAGCAUCAAUUUUGAUAUUUGUCUCCUUAUCAAAUGCUAAAAUAGCAAAAAAUCAGCUCAAACUAUUUGAAAGAAAUGAUUAUCAGUCGUCGGAAAUAUUAAAAGGAACCGAGAGCAAUAUAAAUUUGAAAUCAAAUGUUACAUUAUGGAUCCUUAAUUUAUUAGACGAUUCGUUAGAUUUUCAGCGAUUAUAUUUAGCGAGCAAAGCUGACGAGAAAGUUUUCAAUAAUAUUAUUUGUCCGGCAAUUGAAAACUACAAACUCCAAAGAUCAAUUACAAUAAAUAAGGAAAAUUCUGAAAAGGUACAGCCUGUAGACGACAAGCAGAUUGAGAGAAAAAAUAAAAACUCUGAAGCAAAUUUUAAUAUUCACAAUUUGAAAGGCAUUAAAAAUGAAAUUUUGGUAUUGUUGAAUAAAUUUUUCAUGAAUCAAUUAAGCGAGCCGAAUUCCUAUGUAAGUGAAAUCGUCCCUAGAAAUGAACAAAAAUCUUUGAAGUUGUAUUUCAUCGGACCCUUCACAUCUUUGAUAAUGACGUCUAAGAAAAUGAGGUACCACUAUUUCAUAAACCCCCCUUCACCACUGCCCAGUUGGUUUUAUGGAGAACAUAAAAAUAUAGUGGAAAGUAAUAAUAAGAAGUAUGUGGAAAUACCAGUCGGUGUACAAAACGAUUUCCUUAAGAAGCUAUUAAAUUUAUUAAAGAUAUACAUAGGUUUUCCUGUGUAAAAAUGUUUUUAUAUUUGUUGAUAU